rnacentral:rRNA from 1 species
UACGAAGGGGGCUAGCGUUGUUCGGAUUUACUGGGCGUAAAGCGCGUGUAGGCGGGUCGUUAAGUUGGGGGUGAAAGCCCGAGGCUCAACCUCGGAACUGCCUUCAAAACUGGCGACCUGGAGCAUGAUAGAGGCGAGUGGAAUUCCGAGUGUAGAGGUGAAAUUCGUAGAUAUUCGGAGGAACACCAGUGGCGAAGGCGACUCGCUGGAUCAUUGCUGACGCUGAGACGCGAAAGCGUGGGGAGCAAACAGG